UACGGAGGGGACUAGCGUUGUUCGGAAUUACUGGGCGUAAAGCGCACGUAGGCGGAUUUGUAAGUCAGGGGUGAAAUCCCGGGGCUCAACCUCGGAACUGCCUUUGAUACUGCAAAUCUCGAGUCCGGAAGAGGUGAGUGGAAUUCCUAGUGUAGAGGUGAAAUUCGUAGAUAUUAGGAAGAACACCAGUGGCGAAGGCGGCAUCCUGGACCAAUACUGACGCUGAGUGAGCGAAAGCCAGGGGAGCAAACGGG
rnacentral:rRNA from 1 species